CGUGAACGCUGGCGGUAGGCCUAACACAUGCAAGUCGAACGGCAGCACAGUAAGAGCUUGCUCUUACGGGUGGCGAGUGGCGGACGGGUGAGGAAUACAUCGGAAUCUACUUUUUCGUGGGGGAUAACGGAGGGAAACUUACGCUAAUACCGCAUACGACCUACGGGUGAAAGCAGGGGAUCUUCGGACCUUGCGCGAUUGAAUGAGCCGAUGUCGGAUUAGCUAGUUGGCGGGGUAAGGGCCCACCAAGGCGACGAUCCGUAGCUGGUCUGAGAGGAUGAUCAGCCACACUGGAACUGAGACACGGUCCAGACUCCUACGGGAGGCAGCAGUGGGGAAUAUUGGACAAUGGGCGCAAGCCUGAUCCAGCCAUACCGCGUGGGUGAAGAAGGCCUUCGGGUUGUAAAGCCCUUUUGUUGGGAAAGAAAAGCAGCAGGUUAAUACCCCGCUGUUCUGACGGUACCCAAAGAAUAAGCACCGGCUAACUUCGUG
rnacentral:rRNA from 1 species